CUCCUGGAAACGGGUGGUAAUGCCGGAUGUUCCAGUUGAUCGCAUGGUCUUCUGGGAAAGCUUUCGCGGUAUGGGAUGGGGUCGCGUCCUAUCAGCUUGACGGCGGGGUAACGGCCCACCGUGGCUUCGACGGGUAGCCGGCCUGAGAGGGCGACCGGCCACAUUGGGACUGAGAUACGGCCCAGACUCCUACGGGAGGCAGCAGUGGGGAAUAUUGCACAAUGGGCGCAAGCCUGAUGCAGCGACGCCGCGUGAGGGAUGGAGGCCUUCGGGUUGUAAACCUCUUUUAUCGGGGAGCAAGCGUGAGUGAGUUUACCCGUUGAAUAAGCACCGUCUAACUACGUGCCAGCAGCCGCGGUAAUACGUAGGGUGCAAGCGUUAUCCGGAAUUAUUGGGCGUAAAGGGCUCGUAGGCGGUUCGUCGCGUCCGGUGUGAAAGUCCAUCGCUUAACGGUGGAUCCGCGCCGGGUACGGGCGGGCUUGAGUGCGGUAGGGGAGACUGGAAUUCCCGGUGUAACGGUGGAAUGUGUAGAUAUCGGGAAGAACACC
rnacentral:rRNA from 1 species